AUUACCGAGUUUACAACUCCCAAACCCAAUGUGAACGUUACCAAACUGUUGCCUCGGCGGGGUCACGCCCCGGGUGCGUAAAAGCCCCGGAACCAGGCGCCCGCCGGAGGAACCAACCAAACUCUUUCUGUAGUCCCCUCGCGGACGUAUUUCUUACAGCUCUGAGCAAAAAUUCAAAAUGAAUCAAAACUUUCAACAACGGAUCUCUUGGUUCUGGCAUCGAUGAAGAACGCAGCGAAAUGCGAUAAGUAAUGUGAAUUGCAGAAUUCAGUGAAUCAUCGAAUCUUUGAACGCACAUUGCGCCCGCCAGUAUUCUGGCGGGCAUGCCUGUCCGAGCGUCAUUUCAACCCUCGAACCCCUCCGGGGGAUCGGCGUUGGGGAUCGGGACCCCUCACCGGGUGCCGGCCCUGAAAUACAGUGGCGGUCUCGCCGCAGCCUCUCCUGCGCAGUAGUUUGCACAACUCGCACCGGGAGCGCGGCGCGUCCACGUCCGUAAAACACCCAACUUCUGAAAUGUUGACCUCGGAUCAGGUAGGAAUACCCGCUGAACUUAAGCAU
rnacentral:rRNA from 1 species